rnacentral:rRNA from 1 species
GACGAACCGUGCGAACGUUGUUCGGAAUCACUGGGCUUAAAGGGCGCGUAGGCGGGUCGGCCAGUCUGCGGUGAAAUCCCCCGGCUUAACCGGGGAACGGCCGCGGAUACUGCCGGCCUCGAGCGAGGUAGGGGCGUGCGGAACACUAGGUGGAGCGGUGAAAUGCGUUGAUAUCUAGUGGAACUCCGGUGGCGAAAGCGGCGCGCUGGACCUCUUCUGACGCUGAGGCGCGAAAGCCAGGGGAGCGAACGGG